UGAGGAAUAUUGGUCAAUGGACGCAAGUCUGAACCAGCCAAGUAGCGUGCAGGAUGACGGCCCUAUGGGUUGUAAACUGCUUUUAUAUGGGGAUAAAGUGGGGAACGUGUUCCCUUUUGCAGGUACCAUAUGAAUAAGGACCGGCUAAUUCCGUGCCAGCAGCCGCGGUAAUACGUAAGGUCCGAGCGUUGUCCGGAAUCAUUGGGCGUAAAGGGUACGUAGGCGGAUAAGCAAGUUAGAAGUGAAAUCCUAUAGCUCAACUAUAGUAAGCUUUUAAAACUGCUCAUCUUGAGGUAUGGAAGGGAAAGUGGAAUUCCUAGUGUAGCGGUGAAAUGCGCAGAUAUUAGGAGGAAUACCGGUGGCGAAGGCGACUUUCUGGCCAUAUACUGACGCUGAGGUACGAAAGCGUGGGUAGCAAACAGG
rnacentral:rRNA from 1 species